UGUUCUGUAGCUUAGUUGGUUAAAGCGCCGGUCUAGCGUACACGGAGUCGUGAGUUAGAGUCUCACUAGAACGC
rnacentral:tRNA from 1 species